CUUGUCAUUGCAUUCCUUAUUGAAAGCCAUCAGUCUGACUUUGAAGGCCUGAAUGUCGGCCAUUUGCUUUCGUAACUCAGAAUCCAUUCAAGAUUCCUUGAUUAUUCUUUUGCCAAUCACUGGCUCUUCCAGGGCCACUAUAUUUGGCCUCAUCUGUUUGAACAUCUCAGUGAGUGCGUCCACUGAGAACGGUUCUUCGCUUUGCGCGACAACCUGAGU
rnacentral:lncRNA from 1 species